UACGUAGGGUGCGAGCGUUAAUCGGAAUUACUGGGUGUAAAGCGUGCGCAGGCGGUUCGUUAUGUCCGAUGUGAAAGCCCCGAGCUUAACUUGGGAAUGGCAUUGGAAACUGGCGGGCUGGAGUGCGGCAGAGGGGGGUGGAAUUCCACGUGUAGCAGUGAAAUGCGUAGAGAUGUGGAGGAACACCGAUGGCGAAGGCAGCCCCCUGGGCCUACACUGACGCUCAGGCACGAAAGCGUGGGGAGCAAACAGG
rnacentral:rRNA from 1 species